CUGGCCGUAUGCUUAACACAUGCAAGUCGAACGGAAGUCUUCGGACUUUAGUGGCGGACGGGUGAGUAACGCGUGAGAAUCUGGCUUUAGGUCGGGGACAACAGUUGGAAACUACUGCUAAUACCGGAUAUGCCUGAGAGGUGAAAGAUUAAUUGCCUGAAGAAGAGCUCGCGUCUGAUUAGCUAGUUGGUGGGGUAAGAGCUUACCAAGGCGACCAUCAGUAGCUGGUCUGAGAGGACGAUCAGCCACACUGGGACUGAGACACGG
rnacentral:rRNA from 1 species